UUUUACUUACGGGAGGCAGCAGUGAGGAAUAUUGGUCAAUGGGCGCGAGCCUGAACCAGCCAAGUCGCGUGAGGGAUGACGGCCCUACGGGUUGUAAACCUCUUUUGUCGGGGAGCAAAUUCCGCCACGUGUGGCGGAGUCGAGAGUACCCGAAGAAAAAGCAUCGGCUAACUCCGUGCCAGCAGCCGCGGUAAUACGGAGGAUGCGAGCGUUAUCCGGAUUUAUUGGGUUUAAAGGGUGCGUAGGCGGACUGUCAAGUCAGCGGUAAAAUACGGGGGCU
rnacentral:rRNA from 1 species